UGGAUGAACGCUAGCUACAGGCUUAACACAUGCAAGUCGAGGGGCAGCAGGAUCUAGCAAUAGAUUGCUGGCGACCGGCGCACGGGUGAGUAACACGUAUCCAACCUGCCGAUAACUCGGGGAUAGCCUUUCGAAAGAAAGAUUAAUACCCGAUAGUAUAAUCAGACCGCAUGGUUUGAUUAUUAAAGAAUUUCGGUUAUCGAUGGGGAUGCGUUCCAUUAGGCAGUUGGUGAGGUAACGGCUCACCAAACCUUCGAUGGAUAGGGGUUCUGAGAGGAAGGUCCCCCACAUUGGAACUGAGACACGGUCCAAACUCCUACGGGAGGCAGCAGUGAGGAAUAUUGGUCAAUGGACGCGAGUCUGAACCAGCCAAGUAGCGUGAAGGAUGACUGCCCUAUGGGUUGUAAACUUCUUUUAUAUGGGAAUAAAGUUUUCCACGUGUGGAAUUUUGUAUGUACCAUAUGAAUAAGGAUCGGCUAACUCCGUGCCAGCAGCCGCGGUAAUACGGAGGAUCCGAGCGUUAUCCGGAUUUAUUGGGUUUAAAGGGAGCGUAGGUGGACAGUUAAGUCAGUUGUGAAAGUUUGCGGCUCAACCGUAAAAUUGCAGUUGAUACUGGCUGUCUUGAGUACAGUAGAGGUGGGCGGAAUUCGUGGUGUAGCGGUGAAAUGCUUAGAUAUCACGAAGAACUCCGAUUGCGAAGGCAGCUCACUGGACUGCAACUGACACUGAUGCUCGAAAGUGUGGGUAUCAAACAGGAUUAGAUACCCUGGUAGUCCACACAGUAAACGAUGAAUACUCGCUGUUUGCGAUAUACAGUAAGCGGCCAAGCGAAAGCAUUAAGUAUUCCACCUGGGGAGUACGCCGGCAACGGUGAAACUCAAAGGAAUUGACGGGGGCCCGCACAAGCGGAGGAACAUGUGGUUUAAUUCGAUGAUACGCGAGGAACCUUACCCGGGCUUAAAUUGCAUUUGAAUAUAUUGGAAACAGUAUAGCCGUAAGGCAAAUGUGAAGGUGCUGCAUGGUUGUCGUCAGCUCGUGCCGUGAGGUGUCGGCUUAAGUGCCAUAACGAGCGCAACCCUUAUCUUUAGUUACUAACAGGUCAUGCUGAGGACUCUAGAGAGACUGCCGUCGUAAGAUGUGAGGAAGGUGGGGAUGACGUCAAAUCAGCACGGCCCUUACGUCCGGGGCUACACACGUGUUACAAUGGGGGGUACAGAAGGCAGCUACCUGGUGACAGGAUGCUAAUCCCAAAAGCCUCUCUCAGUUCGGAUCGAAGUCUGCAACCCGACUUCGUGAAGCUGGAUUCGCUAGUAAUCGCGCAUCAGCCAUGGCGCGGUGAAUACGUUCCCGGGCCUUGUACACACCGCCCGUCAAGCCAUGAAAGCCGGGGGUACCUGAAGUACGUAACCGCAAGGAGCGUCCUAGGGUAAAACUGG
rnacentral:rRNA from 1 species